rnacentral:rRNA from 1 species
AGCGAACGCUGGCGGCAUGCCUAACACAUGCAAGUCGCACGGGUCGGCUUCGGCCGGUCAGUGGCGGACGGGUGAGGAACGCGUAGGUACCUUUCCUCUGGUGGUGGAUCACCGCGGGAAACUGCGGCUACGACCGCAUGCUUCGCCGGUGUGAGAGCCGGUGUCUAAGGCGCGCAUCGCGAGGUGUGUGUCGUCGUGAGGUGAGCCCGCGUCCGAUUAGCUUGGUGGCGGGGGAAUGGCCCACCAAUGGGACGAUUAGUAGCUGGGCGGGGAGGAGGAUCAGGCACAUUGGGACAGGGAAAAGGCCCAAACUCCUACGGGAGGCAGGAGGGGGGGAUAUUGGGCAAUGGGGGGAAGCCUGAAGCAGCCAUGCCGGGGGAAUGAAGAAGGGCUUAGGGUUGGAAAAGCCUUUUACCGGGGAAGAGAAGGAGGGGAACCGGAGAAGAAGCCCCGGGUAAAUUCGUG